UCCACGCAACUUCCCAUCUCUCUCGUUCUUUCCACCGCCACCGCCGCUAGGGUUGCCGCCGCCGCUGCCAACGCCGCCCCAAGCCGUAUUCGCCUCGACGGGUCUCAACCUGCCAGGCGGAGCGACCCCCCGAUGCCGGUGCUCGAGGGCGAGGGAAGCUUCUAGAAGGGGGCUGAGGAGGCGUGGUUAGGCCAUUAGGGUCUGACCUGGUGACUGGUGUUGGGAGGCGGGGCCGGAUUGGGGGAGGUUUCGAGGGAGGAGGGGACGCGGAUGAGGGCCGCUGCAACGUCGGGGACAUCUUGCCGGGGACCAUUGUGUGGGUGCGGCGAAGGAACGGCUACUGGUGGCUCUGACGGGAUCUUGGGCCAAGGCGAGUUGCCGCCAUCGCUGAUCAUGUCUCCCAGGUCUGGCACGCCGGACAAGCUUCUCGGCCACGAGGACGCCAGCAUGUCCUCGCUCGCUUCACAAUCCAUACAGGAGGGGGACUGCAUACUAUAAGUGCCUCAAAAUGUUUUCUGUUGCGGCUGAUCUAGAGAUGGUCUCCACAAGAAAAAAUUGGACCAGUUGACCUUCCACGGGCAUGCAUAUCAUGAUAUAAUCAAGAGCCACAAAUUUUAGUUUUGUCUUUUUCACAUAGCUUUUAAAGAUAAACGAGGAUCUGCCUGAUGCAGAUGGCACAUGACAGAUUCUGAUUAAUUAACUAGCGCGAAGGAUUGUGGUGAAUUAGUCGGCCACCAGUGAAGCCUAGCAGGAAAAAACUAAAUGUAGACCAUUUCAUCAGAAUUUGUACAAGAAGGCGGGGAUGAGCGUAUGGCAGCAAGGGAGGCGGCUCGGCUCGGACCGGCCAUGGCGCUAGCGCUUCUGAUUCCCCACCGGCCUCCUUAGUCCCCUAGCCACAACCGGCUCCAAUCCCUCGUCUGCUAUGGUGCUGUGGGAGGAAGAGGAAGAGUAGGCAUGCUUUCUGCUGCAUCCAGCAUCCACACGUCAGAUUGACGAGCCUAAACUCUGGGCUUUGAGAAGGCUUCAAUUUUCAGAAACUGUUGCCCAGAGAGAUGUCGAUGAAGCACUACGCCUGUUGCAGAUGUCAAAGUACUUGAUCUACUUUGAUGACCGCCAGCGGUCUAGCCUUGAUGUGAUCUCUGACAUAUACUCCAUCCUGAGAGAUGAAGCAGCAAGGACUAGCAACAUGGAUGUCAAAUUUGGAGUGCACUGAGGCUCAGCUGAAGGAAUGCCCGGAGGAGUAUGCAUCCUUGAACGUGUGGCAGAUCCACCCAAGCACAUUUGACAUACAGUUCUGCGACGCCUGAUCCAGGAACAAACAUUCCAUCAUAAUCAGACGAUUGUGAUGCAUGAUUAGGGCGUCUAAUGCCAUUGUUUGGGAUCUAUUAAGUUUGAAGGACCUUAGUGAUAGCACAUGCAGAUUGAUUACAGUUUUACAGAUUUUUAUGCAUAAAUGGAAGUACAGUGGUAGACCUGAGAAGGUUUGAACAUUUAUUUCAUAAUUGGGGAAUCAAUUGUUGACCAAGUUGCUCCAUUCUAAUUCCUGCUGAUAAUUUUAUUCUUCUUACUCCCUUUUUUGGGUGUUGUUAAUGAUGUUGGUUGUUUGCAUAUUGUCUAAAGAUAUAAUCCUCACUAAGUAAUUAUUUCUGUAAGUUGCAAAUAGAAAUGUAGCACUAAAACGAUAAGGUUGUAUUAACUUCCUCUUUCUUUUCUUUUCAUCUGCUUUUGAUUCAUAUUUCGGUUAUUUGCUGUUACUAAUGAUAAGAUUUUUUUGUGUGCGUAGUUCAUUGACUCCUUAUUACAAUGAGCAUGUCCUUCUUUCCAUAAAAGAGCUUGAGGAGGUAAAUGAAGAUGGUGUUUCCACUCUGUUCUACCUACAAAAAUUUACCCAGAUGAAGGGAUGAGGUAAAUGAAGAUGGUGUUUCCACUCUGUUCUACCUACAGAAAGUUUACCCCAGUUGAGGGAAGAGGAAGAACAUUUUCUCUUUAAGCAGUCACAAAUAACAAAUUAUAUUCUGAAGCAACCUGGCAUUUACUGUGUGUGCCUAUGCUUAUGUAUGCAGAUGAAUGAGCUUCCAAGCAAGGGUUCAUUGGGAGUAAGAACUUAAAGAAAAUGAAGAACCACUGAAGGAAGAGCUUCGCCCAUGAGCUUUGGAUAAAGAGGUCAAACGGCAAUAAGAGCAUACCUCCUGUGUUGCAAUGUUCAAACCAGAAUUAGGCAUGAUUUUGGGAUUGUCCAGUGAAACUUUUCAGUUCUACCAUGUAUAUUCUUGGUGCUUGGAUUUAGUAUUAGACCUGGAGAUUCUACAUAAAUACAAAUAAUGUGUGGAUUUUCCUGUUGAAACUGCUUCUGUGUAAUAAUAUUUCUGGAAUGACAUUGUCAGUACUACAUU